rnacentral:lncRNA from 1 species
GGAUGAAGAUAACUGAUAAACUAUUAUAUACCAGAUUUUAAUUCACUGAACUAUUGUUAAUGUCUUAGCAUCUCUAGGAAUUCUCUAGAGUCUUUGACUCUACCCCCUUUGAAUACAAUCAUAGAAUAGCAAUGUACUUAAUUUUUAAGUACAUUAGUGGGUGCAUUUCCAUUGAAGAAGCUAAAUUUAUACUUGGAUAUUUGGUCUCCCUUCAAAAAGCAUACUCCAAUGAUUAUUGUUCCAUCUGAAAAAAUGUUUUCCAUACGGUUUCGUUUUAUUUCCCAUAGAAAAUUUGAUAUUUAGCUUUAUUACAACUAAUGGUAUUAAUUAAUUUUCAUUGUCUGAGUUUUCUUAUAGGGUUUGUUUUGAAAUAUUCAAUUAAUAAUAGAAUUUAGUGAAGCUACUAAGAAAUGAAGUGAAUACAUGAUUUCUGGAUGUCUGUCUUUGUAAUUAUUUCUAGACCUUUGUAAGUAAAGCCUUCUCUUUUCUUCAUCAGCUUAACAUUGAAGAACUUAAGAAUGUGCAAUGAGAGUUAAACUUCGAAUCACGCAUGGCAAUCAGUGCCUACUCAUGCCAUUUCACUUCAAAGGGACGGUGUCUAGAAACAUUCUUUUUACAAGGCAUUGAUAUAUGUAAAGAAUGUAUCAAUGAAUAGAUGAUGGUGGUGUUUCAGUUACAAAAGCAGAGAAAGAAAUUUGUUACUGAAGGCAAACUUGUACACCUGGGCAAAGCACUUGCAUUCUUUUAAGUUCUGUCAAAGGUAGUACUUCUCAAACUUAAAUAUGCAUGCAAAUCACCUGAGGAAUCACAGAAGAAUUCAGAUUCUCAUGUGAAGGUCUAGAGUGGGGCUUGACCCUCUGCAUAAUAAGCUUCCAAGUGAUGCUGAUACAGCUUGUCCACUUUGAAUAACAAGGAUUUAGUUGAAAGAAACCCUGAAUCAUGGACAUACUUUGAUUUAUCUCUGCUCUUUCUUGAUUUGGACUCAUUAAACCAACUUCAGAUUACAAUUUGCCUUCUCUGUUGGUUUAUCUAAAUAGCAGUAUUGUUAAUCCCAAGAUUGUAUCCCUUAUGGUGAAUAAACAUGUGGACAUUCCAGAUUUAUGCAUUUAGGCAUUUAUUUCUGUGAGGUUGGUUAAUGUGCAUUUGUUUCAGAUGAGGUUAAUAAAAUAAUAAUAGCU